CCUACGGGUGGCAGCAGUGAGGAAUAUUGGUCAAUGGACGAGAGUCUGAACCAUCCAAGUAGCGUGCAGGAUGACUGCCCUAUGGGUUGUAAACUUCUUUUAUAUGGGAAUAAAAUGUUCCACGUGUUGUCUUUUGUAUGUACCAUAUGAAUAAGGAUCGGCUAACUCCUUCCCAGCAGCCGCGGUAAUACGGAGGGUCCGAGCGUUAUCCGGAUUUAUUGGGUUUAAAGGGAGCGUAGGUGGAUUGUUAAGUUAGUUGUGAAAGUUUGGGGCUCAACCGUAAAAUUGCAGUUGAAACUGGCAGUCUUGAGUACAGUAGAGGUGGGCGGAAUUCGUGGUGUAGCGGUGAAAUGCUUAGAUAUCACGAAGAACUCCGAUUGCGAAGGCAGCUCACUGGACUGCAACUGACACUGAGGCUCGAAAGUGUGGGUAUCAAACAGGAUUAGAUACCCGAGUAGUC
rnacentral:rRNA from 1 species